rnacentral:rRNA from 1 species
UACGUAGGGUGCGAGCGUUAAUCGGAAUUACUGGGCGUAAAGCGUGCGCAGGCGGUUAUGCAAGCCAGAUGUGAAAUCCCCGGGCUCAACCUGGGACCUGCAUUUGUGACUGCAUAGCUAGAGCACGGUAGAGGGGGAUGGAAUUCCGCGUGUAGCAGUGAAAUGCGUAGAUAUGCGGAGGAACACCGAUGGCGAAGGCAGUCCCCUGGACCUGUACUGACGCUCAUGCACGAAAGCGUGGGGAGCAAACAGG